rnacentral:rRNA from 1 species
UCGAGAAUUUUUCUCAAUGGCGAAAGCCUGAAGGAGCGACGCCGCGUGGGGGAUGAAGGGCUUCGGCUCGUAAACCCCUGUCAUUCGCGAGCAAACCUUUUCGUCAAACAAACGAAAAGCUGAUAGUAGCGAAAGAGGAAGGGACGGCUAACUCUGUGCCAGCAGCCGCGGUAAUACAGAGGUCCCAAGCGUUGUUCGGAUUCACUGGGCGUAAAGGGUGCGUAGGUGGUCGGUCAAGUUCGGUGUGAAAUCUCCGGGCUCAACUCGGAAAAGGCAUUGAAUACUGUCCGGCUAGAGGGUCGAAGGGGAGACUGGAAUUCUCGGUGUAGCAGUGAAAUGCGUAGAUAUCGAGAGGAACACCAGUGGCGAAGGCGAGUCUCUGGACGACUCCUGACACUGAGGCACGAAAGCUAGGGGAGCAAACAG